rfam:Canis lupus familiaris chromosome 10, whole genome shotgun sequence.
AGCUUUGUGCAGUGGCACUAUCAUAGCCAAUGAAAUUUAUCCCAGGUGUGAUUAUUGCUAAUUAAAAAAUUUAUCCAUAAAGAGCUAUUCUUUUUGAUGUUAUUACAAAUGGAAUUAUUUUAUUAAUUUCAUUUUUGAA